AAUACAAAAGGCGCUUGUGCUUCAGGUUGAUCGUCAGAUUGCUAGCAGAAUCAUUUUGCUAACUCUUCAAGGUUUUAUGGCUGUCACAUGAAAGUUGGUCAGCCAGAGCUCACAAGUUGCUUGUGUUGUCCGAUCCAAAGUUCAGAGGGAUGUUCGUGCUGGCACGUUCUAUUGUCUUAUCGGGUAAAUUGGGCACACAUUUGAUCAGAAGAGAUUGAAACACUGUACCAAGUGAAGACUGAAGACUCUAAAUAACAACAGCCAGAAAGUUGCUUGCUCCCUAAAAAGUGUUUUAUUAGCCAUUUGUUGUGAUCAUUCUUCAUGUUUUAGACAAAUAUUUUGUACUCCCAAUGGUUUCUAAGCAUUUUUGUAAGUUUGUAAUAAGAGACAACUCCUAUAUAUGAAAGAAAUGAUACACUUUUUGUUAUU